GCGACUUCCGGCGGCGCCGAGGCACGCGCGCCAUAAGUUGGAGCUCCCGGGGCGCCCGGGACGAGCUUCCCAGGAUUCCCCGACCUUCCCGUGCUGCUCGGCCUUGGCCGAAGCAUGCGCGGCUCCGGGGUCCCCUCGCCGAGAAUCGGGGUCCCCCCCACCGUCCAAAUCGCCCCGCCUCAGGGACCCGCCUCAGCCUUGGCGAGGCCGCGCCCUGGCCGUGUGAGCCCAUAUCCCACUCUCACGGCGGUCCCCAGAGUGAGGGUCCCUUCCACAACGGAGAAAGACGUCCCUUUCGCAAAAGCGACUUGGUCGGGUCCCCAGACCCUUGCCCUCCACUCCCAGACGUCACAGACAGGCCUCGCUCCCUUCUCAGGGGCCCCACCUGACUGAGGCUUGGCUGGACACAAUCCUGAAGCAUGCAGAUUCCAGACAUGACCCCCAGCAGAAACACACAUCACUGUUUCAAACCUUUGGCGUGUCAUUCGUGAAGGGAUGAGAUGGCAGCUAUUCAGUCAUAGUACUCCAAGGGUCCCCGGCUCUACCCUCCAGUUAUUCUAACUCAACGAUUUGCCAAAACCACCUGUCGCUCCCAAGCCAAAGACUACCAGUCCACUGACGCCAGUGACCGCACCCAAAUUCCCUUCCUCAGCCAGGCUCGAGAGUCUUCACAGUCCAAACUCCAUGUUCACGGGUCUGAAGCCCCCCCAUUGCCCCCAAGCCCAGGCUGACUGCCCCAAACGAGUGGAGAGCCAGUGUGUACCUGAAUGACAGCUUGAACAAAUGCAGCAACGGACGGCUGCUCUGUGUAGACAGGGGGCUUGAUGAGGGGCCCCGGUCCGUCCCAAAGUGCUCUGAGUCAGAGACCGACGAGGAUUACAUCGUCCUCAGGGCUCCGCUGAGGGAGGACGAACCCAAGGACGGGGGCAGUGUGGGGAAUGCAGCCCUGGUGUCUCCCGAGGCCUCUGCAGAAGAGGAAGAGGAGCGUGAGGAGGGAGGCGAGGCAUGUGGCCUGGAGAGGACAGGAGCUGGUAAGGACUCGGCGGCUAUUGCUGCCCCAGCUGCAGUAUUGCUGAGCAGGGAGGGUGAAGAAGGCACAGACCUCACUCCUGAGGACCAAGGAGAGGGCUGCGGAUGAGCCAGGGACAGAAGAGCAGGUGUCCAGAAGUGAGGAGGAAGAGAAGCUGGUGCAGCCACACAGGGAGUGCAGCCUGGACAAUGGCAGGCCUUGGGCUGGAGAGGUGGUCUUCCAGAGCGACCUCCUCCUGCCUCACAUCCAUGGAGAGGACCACAAGCCCCCCGACAACCCUGGGGAGGCAGAGGAGGAUGAUGAGGAAGGCUGUGCCAGGACAGACCCAGCGGGGCACAUGAGGGUUCGGAUCCUGACAGGCCCACUGAGGACAUGGGAGAGGAUGCUGAGGAAGCCAGCGAGGAGGCCCCUGAGAAGGAGGAACUGGCCGGGGUCCGGAGGCAGAGACGGCCAUGAACAGCCCUGAGGUUCUUGAGGAGGGAUGUGAAGAGGCCACAGGUGUCAUAGGUGGGGAGCAGGUUGACCUUGGUGAACUACCUGACCAUGAGGAGAAAAGCAACCAGAAAGUGGCAGCUGCCACCCUGGAGGACCGCACACAGGAUGAGCCUGCUGAGGAGAGCUGCCAGAUCGUCCUUUUCCAGAACAACUGCAUGGACAACUUUGUGACUUCCCUCACAGGAAGCCCCUACGAGUUCUUCCCAACCAAGAGCACCUCUUUUUGCAGGGAGAGCUGUUCUCCUUUUUCUGAGUCAGUGAAAAGCUUAGAAUCAGAGCAGGCACCAAAGUUGGGGCUGUGUGCGGAGGAGGACCCCGUGGUUGGGGCUUUGUGUGGCCAGCAUGGACCCUUGCAAGAUGGAGUGGCGGAGGGUCCCACAGCCCCUGAUGUGGUGGUCCUGCCGAAGGAGGAGGAGAAGGAGGAGGUCAUUGUGGAUGACAUGCUGGCCAACCCCUAUGUGAUGGGAGUGGGCCUGCUGGGAGGAUGAGGGGGAGGAGGAGGAGGAGGAGUUCGUGGAUGACACACUGGCCAACCCCUAUGUGAUGGGAGUGGGCCUGCCAGGAAGAGGAGGGGAGGAGGAGGAGGAGGAGGAGGUCGUGGAUGACACGCUGGCCAGCCUCUAUGUGAUGGGAGUGGGCCUGCUGGGAGGAGGAGGGGGAAGAGGAGGAGGAGGCUGUGGAUGACACACUGGCCAACCCCUAUGUGAUGGGAGUGGGACUGCCAGGAGGAGGAGAGGAGGAGGGGAGGAGAAGGAGGAGGAAGCCAUGGAUGACAUGCUGGCCAGCCUCUAUGUGAUGGGAGUGAGCCUCCCGGGAGGAGGAGGGGGAAGAGGAGGAGGAGGUUGUUGAUGACACACUGGCCAACCCCUAUGUGAUGGGAGUGGGCCUGCCGGUCUGGCAGCCCCUUGAGAAGGAGGGCAGGCUGCAUUGGAUGCCCUGGGUGGUUAUGGCUCAGAAGAAGAAAUGAACUGUGAAGGAGAGGGCAGCCUGGUCUCCGUGGACAGGAAGAACAUCGACACAAGGGCCUGGCCCCACUCUGGGAAGGUGGCCAGAAACCGUCCCAGAAACUGCCCCCAAAGAAACCAGAUCUGAGGCAGGUUCCUCAGCCCCUGGCAUCGGAGGUGCCGCAGAGGAGGCAGGAAAGAGCUGUUGUCACUGAAGGGAGGCCCCUGGAAGCCAGCAGGGCCUUGCCAGCAAAGCCCAGGGCCUUCACUUUAUACCCUCGGUCGUUCUCCGUGGAAGGCCAAGAGAUUCCUGUUUCCAUCUCUGUGUACUGGGAGCCAGAAGGGUCGGGGUUAGAUGACCACAGGAUAAAGAGGAAAGAGGAACAUCUCUCUGUCGUGUCUGGGAGUUUCUCCCAGAGAAACCACCUUCCAUCCAGCGGCACCUCCACGCCUUCUUCCAUGGUCGACAUCCCACCUCCUUUCGACCUGGCCUGCAUCACCAAGAAGCCCAUCACAAAGAGCUCUCCCUCUCUCCUGAUCGACAGCGACUCCCCGGACAAGUACAAGAAGAAGAAGUCAUCCUUUAAGCGGUUCCUGGCGCUGAUGUUUAACAAGAUGGAGAGGCCAGGCACGAUGGCUCAUGCCUGUCAUCCCAGCACUUUGGGAAGCUGAGGCGAGCAGAUCACCGAAGGUCAGGAGUUCGAGAGCAGCCUGGUCAACAUAGUGAAACCCCGUCUCUAAUAAAAAUACAAAAAUUAGCCAGGCAUGGUGGUGUGCACCUGUAAUCCCAGCUACUUGGGAGGCUGAAACAGGAGAAUUGCUUGAACCUGGGAGGCGGAGGUUGCAGUGAGCCGAGAUUGUGCCAUUGCACUCCAGCCUGGGCAACAAGAGUGAGACUCCAUCUC
ensembl:lncRNA FGD5P1 FYVE, RhoGEF and PH domain containing 5 pseudogene 1